GAACGGUAGCACAGAGGAGCUUGCUCCUUGGGUGACGAGUGGCGGACGGGUGAGUAAUGUCUGGGAAACUGCCCGAUGGAGGGGGAUAACUACUGGAAACGGUAGCUAAUACCGCAUAACGUCUUCGGACCAAAGUGGGGGACCUUCGGGCCUCACACCAUCGGAUGUGCCCAGAUGGGAUUAGCUAGUAGGUGGGGUAAUGGCUCACCUAGGCGACGAUCCCUAGCUGGUCUGAGAGGAUGACCAGCCACACUGGAACUGAGACACGGUCCAGACUCCUACGGGAGGCAGCAGUGGGGAAUAUUGCACAAUGGGCGCAAGCCUGAUGCAGCCAUGCCGCGUGUAUGAAGAAGGCCUUCGGGUUGUAAAGUACUUUCAGCGAGGAGGAAGGUGUUGUGGUUAAUAACCGCAGCAAUUGACGUUACUCGCAGAAGAAGCACCGGCUAACUCCGUG
rnacentral:rRNA from 1 species